ACGCUCGACACCUACGGGAGCGAGCAGUGGGGAAUAUUGCACAAUGGGGGAAACCCUGAUGCAGCGACGCCGCGUGAGCGAAGAAGUAUUUCGGUAUGUAAAGCUCUAUCAGCAGGGAAGAAACUGACGGUACCUGACUAAGAAGCACCGGCUAAAUACGCGCCAGCAGCCGCGGUAAUCUGAGCGGGCUGGCAAGGC
rnacentral:rRNA from 1 species